rnacentral:rRNA from 1 species
AGGCAGCAGUGGGGAAUCUUGGACAAUGGGCGCAAGCCUGAUCCAGCCAUGCCGCGUGAGUGAUGAAGGCCCUAGGGUUGUAAAGCUCUUUCGCCAGGGAAGAUAAUGACGGUACCGGAGGAAUAAGCCCCGGCUAACUUCGUGCCAGCAGCCGCGGUAAUACGAAGGGGGCUAGCGUUGCUCGGAAUCACUGGGCGUAAAGGGCGCGCAGGCGGCGUUUUAAGUUGGGGGUGAAAGCCUGUGGCUCAACCACAGAAUUGCCUUCGAUAUUGGGACGCUUGAGUGUGGUAGAGGUUGGUGGAACUGCGAGUGUAGAGGUGAAAUUCGUAGAUAUUCGCAAGAACACCGGUGGCGAAGGCGGCCAACUGGACCAUCACCGACGCUGAGGCGCGAAAGCGUGGGGAGCAAACAGGAUUAGAUACCCCGGUAG